AACGUAGGAGACGAACGUUAUCCGGAGUUACUGGGCGUAAAGGGCGUGUAGGCGGUUUGUUAAGUCUGGCGUGAAAGCUCUCGGCUAAACCGGGAGAGGUCGUUGGAUACUGGCGAACUAGAGGAUGGUAGAGGCGUGUGGAAUUCCGGGUGUAGUGGUGAAAUGCGUAGAGAGUCCGGAGGAACACCAGUGGCGAAGGCGACACGCUGGGCCAUACCUGACGCUAAAGCGCGACAGCAUGGGGAGCAAACGGG
rnacentral:rRNA from 1 species